rnacentral:lncRNA from 1 species
GCAUCUAAGAAUAGUUUUUUAUACAUACACAAUUUUUAAUGUUUAUUAUAACAACAAAACCUACAAUUAUCUGAAAGUAAUAUUUAAUUAAAACAAGAUUAUAAAAUAAAAUAAAAAUGUUAGCACACUUUUCCUUCCUCCUUCUUCUCGACUUUUCUUCCCCCAACUCACAGACUCCCUACCACCCACCUCCCCUGUUUUUUCACUCUCACUCUCUCAUCUCUCUUCCCCCAACUCAAAAAAAUUCUACGAUAAUUGAAACACCAAAAUAGCAAAAAUACAACAUGUGAAAACAGCAAAAAAAUCACACUGAAACACAUAAUUCAAACCACCACAAUAACUAUAAUCCUCAAUUUUUUCAAUUGAAACAUAAAACCCUAACCAACCAUCAGACUAAGCAAUUUCAACAGUUAACAAAAUAAAUACAUAAAUUGAAAGAAAAAAAAUUCACCCGAAUAUAUUUAAAAUUGAAAAAAACAAAACAAAUAAAAACCCUAACCAACCAUCAGACUAAGCAAUUUCAACACUUAACAAAAUAAAUACAUAAAUUGAAACAGAAAAAAAAAUUCACCCGAAUAUAUUUAAAAUUGAAAAAAACAAAACAAAAAAAAGGGAGAUUAUAUGUACAGACAGCUGCUGCGAGAGGGAGGUGGUGGUGUGACUGGCGAUGGGGGGUUUGGGUUGGAGAGAGAGGGAACUAAUUUGUGGGGUCAGAGAGGGGGAAAGACCGAGAGAGAAAGUGUCGCGUUUUUCAGAAAAAAUAUUAGGAACCUUGCGCGACGACGGAUAAAGGCGUCACGCAAGCUUAUUUUUUUAACUUGCGCAAUGAAUAAAAGAAACUUGUCCCGCCAUUUCGAUAGUGUAAUCUUGCGAGACGAAAUAUUACAUAGCGCAGACCAAAUAUUUUAGCCUUGCGCGAUGAAAGAAAAGAAAUACGUCGCCCAGGUUCGAUAUUUUAAUCAACAGGAGGUGGACUGCCAAAAUUUCACGACCUUGCGUGACGAAAAAAUACGGCGCAAAACCAGGAACAGAAAACCCUAAACAUUCUAACAUUGCAUGACGGAUUAGUGCAUCAGACAACAUUUUUUGCGACGUAAAAAGUCUUGGCGUCGCGCAGACUUCCAAAAUGUAACCUUGCGCGACAAAAAGGUCUUGAUACGUCGCGCAAAGACUUUUCUAUUAGCGGGAUUUGAACCGCCAAGAUUUUCCGAACUUGCGCGAUGAGAUAGUGUGACGCAUCGCGCAAAAGAUGAACUAUGAACCCUAACACCAUUGUGUGACGAAAAAUUGCAUCUAACAAUAUUUUGUGCCACUAAAAUGGUACGUGCGUCGCGCAAAGUCCCUAAACCCGUGAACCCUAAAC